UUUGGGGCGACUGCGGUUAAGCGUUUUACUGAAAGAUCCGGGAUGCACCCCCUUCUUGAAUGCGUAUACAAUCAUGGGUUCCUCCUUGGUGCCUACUUUCACUACCUGUGCCCCAAAGCGGCUUAUGUACUCUUUUAGGGUUUCGCCUUGGAACUGCUUGACGUCGAAAAGAUCGUACGAGACUGGGGCGGGAGUUCUG
rnacentral:lncRNA from 1 species